rnacentral:rRNA from 1 species
CCUACGGGCGGCAGCAGUAGGGAAUAUUGCACAAUGAGGGAAACCCUGAAGCAGCAACGCCGCGUGUAGGAUGAAGGUUUUAGGAUUGUAAACUCCUGUUGUUAGAGAAGAUUAUGACGAUAUCUAACGAAUAAGCACCGGCUAACUCCGUGCCAGCAGCCGCGGUAAUACGGAGGGUGAGAGCGUUAAUCGGAAUCACUGGGCGGAAAGGGUGCGGAGGCGUGGUAAUAAGGUAGAUGUGAAAUCCUGUAGCUUAACUACAGGACUGCAUUUGAAACUAUUACUCUGGAGUGUGGGAGAGGUAGGUGGAAUUCUAGGUGUAGGGGUAAAAUCCGUAGAGAUCAAGAGGAAUACUCAGUGCGAAGGCGACCUGCUGGAACAUUACUGACGCUGAUGCACGAAAGCGUGGGGAGCAAACAGGAUUAGAUACCCUAGUAGUC